rnacentral:rRNA from 1 species
UACAUGGGGUGCAAACGUUGCUCGGAAUUAUUGGGCGUAAAGCGCACGUAGGCGGUUCGUUAAGUCGGAUGUGAAAGCCCUCGGCUCAACUGAGGAAGUGCACCCGAAACUGGCGAGCUUGAGUACGAAAGAGGAUCGCGGAAUUCCCGGUGUAGAGGUGAAAUUCGUAGAUAUUCGGAAGAACACCAGUGGCGAAGGCGACUGACUGGACAUGUAUUGACGCUGAGGUGCG